rnacentral:rRNA from 1 species
AUUGAACGCUGGCGGCAUGCUUUACACAUGCAAGUCGAACGGCAGCACGGGCUUCGGCCUGGUGGCGAGUGGCGAACGGGUGAGUAAUGCAUCGGAACGUGACCAUGUCGUGGGGGCGAACGUAGCGAAAGCUACGCGACGACCGCAUACGCGCUGAGGGGGAAAGCGGGGGCUUGUUCGGAACCGCGCGCGAUGGGAGCGGCCGAUGUCGGAUUAGCUAGUUGGGGAGGUAAAGGCGCACCAAGGCGACGAUCCGUAGCGGGGCUGAGAGGAUGAUCCGCCACACUGGGACUGAGACACGGCCCAGACUCCUACGGGAGGCAGCAGUGGGGAAUUUUGGACAAUGGGGGCAACCCUGAUCCAGCCAGGCCGCGUGAGUGAAGAAGGCCAUCGGGUUGUAAAGCUCUUUCGGCCGGGAAGAAAUCGCACUCUCUAACAUAGGGUGUUGAUGACGGUACCGGACUAAGAAGCACCGGCUAACUACGUGCCAGCCGCCGCAGUAAAAC